GGGGUUGUGCUCAGUGGUAGAGUGCUCACCUAGCACGUGCGAGGCCCCCUUGGUUCAAUCCUUAGCACCACG
rnacentral:tRNA from 1 species